GUUCACUGUAUUUCUUGGAACUGCAGCUGCACAAAGCAAGCGUGAGGACAGGGCCUGCCAGCACCCAAACCGCAAGCUCCGCAGCUGCACAGCCCCAGCCGGCAGACAGCGCGCGGUCAGGCAGCUCUCAGCACCCCGGCCGUCAGGAGGAAGCACAGCAGAGAUUCUCACUGCAGAAUGGUGGCACAGCCACAGCGCCGCGCAGAAGUCCAGAGGGGAGAGUCACGUGCCAUGGUCCAGCACCAGGGAAUGACCCACCUGGUAUCUCUACUGGGAAGCCAGAGACACAGAGAGAAGCAGCUUGCCUUUGAAGAAACAAUCUCCUGACUCCUGACCCAUGGCUGUACUCACUAGACACCUGUGGCCUUCUGAACUUGCUGAAGAAUAACCACCUGUGGCAAUAAAAUUAGGGAAAUGAAAGUAGAUCCUGAAUCAAAAGCUUCCAUUUAGUACUGAUUAAAGCAAAAAAAACUGUGUACUGCUUCAGCAUAAAAAAACUGGAGAACCA